rnacentral:rRNA from 1 species
UACAGAGACUGCGAGCGUUAUUCGGAUUCACUGGGCGUAAAGGGUGCGCAGGCGGCCAAGUGUGUGAGGCGUGAAAGCCCGGGGCUUAACCCCGGAAUUGCACCUCAAACUACAUGGCUAGAGCAUUGGAGAGGGUAGCAGAAUUCAUGGUGUAGCAGUGAAAUGCGUAGAUAUCGGGAAGAACACCCGUGGCGAAGGCGGUUCUCUGGGACGGUACUGACGCUGAGACGCGAAAGCGUGGGGAGCGAACAGG